AGUCCUUCUUUGCAAAGUGAAGGCUGUGAGGCUUUCUCAGGAGUAGUCACAUCCUGCUAGACCACAGUGGAGGCCACCCUGCUGACAUGCUGGGCACAUUGCCCGCAUCCACUCCACUAACGCUCUUUUGGCUCCUUUCCUCGCAUGCUUAAUGCUGGGAAAUGACAGGUGCAAUGGAGACGAGGCUGGCACCAUGUCUGACUGUUCCAACGGCUGGGACUCUCUGUCUGACAGGAUUUACCCAGUCGUGAUGGAUGGUGGCUGGAAAACAAGAGGGACGUGAGAAGAAAACCCAAGGAAAGAAUGAAUGGCUAAUCCUUCCAGUCUCCAUCUCCACCCAGAGGUAAGACUGUCCCACAGCCCUCUAAACUCAAAACCUGCCCUGAGAGAGCUGGUCUUCCAGGAGUGUUCUCACUCCUAAGACCACAGGUGAGACCCCACUCUUGCUCCACUAACUGUCCAAAGAGGGACCUGCCAGGAACACACAGGGCAUAGGAACCAUCAAGCAGUUUGAGACAGGAUCCUUUUGGUCUCCAUCUGUACCCAGAACUAAUGUUAUCCAGAGCCAGUCUCACAAGAGUGCUCUCACUCCUAAGAUCACAGGCUCACAGGCUUGAAGGCCCACAGGAGAGACAAGAUCCAGUCAGAGGCAGCAAGAAUAACUAACAUCAGAGAUAACCAGAUGGUGAAAGGCAAGCACAAGAACACAAGCAACAGAAACCAAGCAACUUGGCAUCAUCAGAAUCCAGCUCUCCCAUGACAUCACACUGAAAAAGCAAGAUUUGGAUUUAAAAUCACAGUUCAUGAUGAUGAAAGAGGACUUUAAGAAGGACAUAAAUAACUCCCUUAAAAAAUACAGGAGAACACAGGUAAACAAGUAGAAACCCUUAAAGAGGAAACACAAAAAAUGCUUUUAGAGUAACAGUAAAACAAAACCAAACAUGGGAAGGAAUUGAACAAAACCAUCCAGGAUCUAAAAAUGGAAAUAGAAACAAUGAAGAAAUCACAAAGACAGACAACCCAAGAGAUAGAAAACCUAGGAAAUAGAUCAGAAAUCAUAAAUGCAAGCAUCACCAACAGAAUACAAGAACUAAAAGAGAGAAUCUCAGGGGCAGAAGAUAGCCAUAGACAAUAUUGACACCAUCAUCAAAGACAAUGUAAGAUACAAAAAGCUCCUAACCCAAAACAUACAGGAAAUCUAGGACACAAUGAGAAGAUCAAACCUAAGGAUAACAGUUAUCAAAGAGAGUUAAGAUUUCAACUUAAAGGGCCAGGAAAUAUCUUGAACAAAAUUAUAGGAGAAAACUUCCCUAACCUAAAGAAAGAGAUGCCCAUAAAUAUACAAAAGCAUACAGAACUCCAAAUAGAUUGGACCAGAAAAGAAAUUUCUCCCAUCACAUAAUAGUCAAUACAUCAAAUGCACGAAACAAAGAAAGAAUAUUAAAAGCAGUAAGGGAAAGGGGGCAAGUAACAUAAAGGCAGACCUAUCAGAAUCACACCAGACUUCUCAAAAGACACUGUGGAAGCUAGAAGAUCCUGGGCAGAUGUCAUAAAGACACUAAGAGAAUGCGAAUGCCAGCCAAGGCUACUAUAUCAAUUAGCAUAAAUGGGGAAACCAAGAUAUUCUAUGACAAAACCAAAUUUACACAAUACCUUUCCACAAAUCCAGCCCUACAAAGAAUAAUUGAUGGAAAACACCAACACAAGGAGGGAAACUACACCCUAGGAAAAGCAGGAAAUGAAUGUUCUUUCAACAAACCCAAAAGAAGAUAUCCACACAAAUAUAAUUCCAUCUCUAGCAACAAAAAUAACAGGAAAAAACAAUCACUAUUCCUUAAUAUCUCUUAACACCAAUGGACACAAAUCCUCAAUAACAAGAAACAGACUAAGAGACUGGAUAUGUAAACAGGACCCAGCAUUUUCCUACACACAGGAAACACACCUCAUUGACAAAGACAAACACUUCCUCAGAGUAAAAGGCUGGGAAAAAUUUUUUCCAAGCACACAGUUCCAAGAAACAAGCUGGGGUAGCCAUUCUAAUAGUAAAUAAAAUUGACUUUCAUCCAAAAGUUUUUUCAAAAGAUAAGGAAGAGCAUUUCAUAUUCAUCAAAUAUAUCUACCAACAUGAACUCUCAAUUGAGAACAUCUAUGUUCCAAAUGCAAGGGCACUCACAUUCAUAAAAGAAACCUUACUAAAGCUCAAAGCAUACAUUGCACCACACUAUAAUAGUGGAAGACUUCAACACCCCACUCUCAUCAAUGGACAGAGCAUGGAAACAGAAACUAAACAAAGAAAGACACAGUGAAACUAACAGAAGUUAUGAACCAAAUGGAAUUAACAGAUACCUUUUGAAUAUUUCAUCUUAAAACAAAAGACUAUACCUUCUUCUCAGCACCUCAUGGUACCUUGUACAUGGUAUGUGGUCUCCAAAAUUAUCAUGUAUUCAGUCACAAAACAUGCCUCAACAGAUACAAGAAGAUUGCAAUUAUCCCAUAUAGUCUAUCAGAUCACGAAGGACCAAGGCUGGUCUUCAAUAACAACAACAACAACAACAACAACAAAAAGAAAACCCAGAAAGCCCACAUAUACAUGGAAGUUGAACAAUGUUCUACUCAAUGAUAUCUUGUUCAAGGAAGAAAUAAUGAAGAAAUUUUAGAAUUUAAUGAGAAUGAUGGCACAAUAUGCCAAAACUUAUGGGAAACAAUGAAAGCACUGCUAAGAGGAAAACUCAUAGUUCUGAGUGCCUCCAAAAAGAAACUGGAGAGAGAAUACAUUAACAGCCUGAUAGCUUACCUGAAAGCUAUAGGAGAGAAGGAAACAAAUACACUCAAUAGGAGUAGAAAGCUGGAAUAAUCAAACUCAGAGCUGAAAUCAACCAAGUAGAAACAAAAAGGACUAUCCAAAGAAUCAACAAAUCCAGGAAUCGGUUCUUUGAGAAAAUCAACAAGAUAGAUAAACCCUUAGCCAGACCAACCAGAGGGCACAGAUCCAAAUUAACAAAAUUAAAAAUGAAAAGGGAAACAUAACAACAGAACCUGAGGAAAUUUUAAAAAAUGAUUAGAUGUUUCUACAAAAGCCUAUACCCAAAAAAACUGUAAAAUUGGAAUGAAAUGGCCAACUUUCUAGACAGAUAUCAGGUAGCAAAUUUAAAUCAGGAUCAGGUAAACUAAUUAUUCCUAUAACCCCUAAAGAAAUAGAAGUAGUCAUUAAAAUUCUCUCAGCCAAAAAAAGCCCAGAACCAGAUGGGUUUAGUGCAGAAUUCUAUCAGACAUUUAAAGAAGACCCAAUACAAAUACUCUUCGAACUAUUCCUCAAAAUAGAAACAGAAGGAACACUACCCAAUUAGUUCUUUGAAGCUACAAUUACGCUUAUAGCUAAACCACAUAAAGACUCUACAAAGUAAGAGAACUUCAGACCAAUUUCUCUUAUGAUAUUGAUGAAAAAAUAUUCAAAAAAUCUUGCAAAUCAUAUCCAAGAACACAUCAAAACAAUCAGUCACCAUGUCAAGUAGUCUUCAUCUCAGGGAUAAGGAGAUGGUUCAAUAUAUGGAAAUCUAUUAAUGUAAUCCACUAUAUAAACAAACCCAAAGGAGAAAAGAACACAUGAUCAUCUUAUUAGAUGCUGAGAAAGCAUUUGACAAAAUUCAAUACCCUUUUCUGAUAAAAGACUUUGAAUGAUCAGGAAUUGAAGGUCCAUACCUAAACAUAGUAAAAGCAAUAUACAGCACACCAGUAGCCAACAUCAAACUAAAUAGAGAGAAAUGAAGCAAUCCACUAAAAUCAGCAAGUAGAUAAGGCUGUUCACUCUCUCCCUAUUUAUUCAAUAUAGUACUUAAAGUCCUAGUCAGAGCAAUUAGACAACAAAAACAGGUCAAAGGGAAACAAAUUGGAAAAGAAGAAGUCAAAAUAACACUAUUUGCAGGUGAUAUGAUAGCAUACUUAAGUGACCCCAAAGUUUCCCUAUAAAUUCCACCAGAGAACCCCUACAGCUGAUAAACAACUUCAACAAAGUAGCUGGAUAUAAAAUUUACUCAGACAAAUCAGUAGCCUUUCUCUACUCAGAGGAUAAACAGGCUGAGAAUGAAAUUAGGGAAAUGACACCCUUCAUAAUAGCCACAAUUAAUAUAAAACACCUAGGUGUGACUAACCAAGCAAGUGAAAGAUCUGUAUGACAAGAACUUCAAGUCACUGAAGAAAGAAAUCAAAGAUCUCUGAAGAUGGAAAGAUCUCCCAUGCUCAUGGAUUGGCAGGAUUAAUAUGGUUAAAAUGUCCAUGUUGCCAAAAGCAUCCUUUGGAUUCAAUGCAAUCCCCAUCAAAAUUCUCACUCAAUUCUUCAUAGAGUUAGAAAGAGCAAUUUGCAAAUUCAUUUGGAAUAACAAAAAACUCAGGACAGAGAAACUAUUUUCAACAAUAAAAGGACUUCUGGGGAAAUCACCAUCCCUGACCUCAAGCUAUCUUACAGAGAAAUUGUGAUAAAAACUGUAUGGUAUUGGUAUAGAGACAGUCAGUUAGCACAAUGGAAUACAGUUGAAGACCCAGAAAUGAACCCACACACCUGUGAUCACUUGAUCUUUGACAAAGGAGUUAAAACCAUCCGGGGCAGGGGCGGGGGGAGACAGCAUUUUCAACAAAUGGUUAUGGUUCAACUGGCAGUCAGCAUGUAGAAGACUGCAAAUUUACUCAUUCUUAUCUCUUUUUUUUUUUUGGUUCUUUUUUUCGGAGCUGGGGACCGAACCCGGGGCCUUGCGCUUCCUAGGUAAGCGCUCUACCACUGAGCUAAAUCCCCAGCCCCUCAUUCUUAUCUCUUUGCACAAAGCUCAAGUCCAAGUGGAUCAAAGACACAUAAAACCACUGAAACAAAUAGAAGAGAAAGUCAGGAAGAACCUCCAACAUAUGGGCACAGGGGAAAUUUUCCUGAACAGAACACCAAUGGCUUAUGCUAUAAGAUCAGGAAUUGACAAAUGGGACCUCAUAAAAUUGCAAAGCUUCUGUAAGGCAAAGGACAAAAUGGCAGCCAACAGAUUGGGAAAAGAUCUUUACCAAUCCUACAUCCGAUAAAGGGCUACUAUUUAGUAUAUACAAAGUACUUAAGAAGUUAGACUUCAGAGAACCAAAUAAUCUGAUUAAAAAAUGGGGUAUAGAGCUAAACAAAGAAUUCUCAACUGAGUAAUAUCAAAUGGCCCAGAAGCAAUUAAAGAAAUGUUCAACAUCCUUAGUCAUCAGAAAAAUGCAAAUCAAAACAACCCUGAGAUUCUACUUCAUACCAGUCACAAUGGUUAAGUUCAAAAACUCAGGUAACAGCAGAUACUGGCAAGGAUGUGGAGAAAGAGGAACACUCCUUCAUUGUUGGUGGGAUUGCAAGCUGUUACAACCAAUCUGGAAAUCAGUCUGGAGGUUCCUCAGAAAAUUGGACAUUGCACAACCUGAGGGUCCAGCAUCUUUGGGCAUAUACCCAAAGAUGUUCUAAUAUAUAACAAGGACACAUGCUCCACUAUGUUCAUAGAAGACUUAUUUAUAAUAUCUAGAAGCUGGAAAGAACCCAGAUGCCUCCAACAAAGGAAUGGAUACAGAAAAUGUGGUACAUUUACACAAUGGAGUACCACUUAGCUAUUAAAAACAAUGACUACAUGAAAUUCUUAGGCAAAUAGAUGGAACUAGAAAAUAUCAUCCUGAGUGAAGUAACCCAGUCACAAAAGAACACACAUCGCACGUACUCACUGAUAAGCAGAUAUUAACCCAAAAGCUUGGAAUAAGCAAGAUACAAUUCACAGAUCAUAUGAAGCUCAAGAAGAAGGAAGACUAAAAUGUGGAUGCAUCAGUCCUUCUUAGAAGGGGGAACGAAAUACUCGUGGGAGGAAUACAGGGACAAUGAUUGGAGCAGAGACUGAUAGAAAGUCCAUCCAGAGCCUGCCUCACCUGGGAUCCAUACCAUAUGCAGCCACCAAACCCAGUCACUAUUGCUGAUGCCAAGAUGUUCUUGCUGACAGGAUCCUGAUAUGGAUGGCUCCUGAGAGGCUCUGCUAGAGCAUUACUAAUACAGAUAAUAUGCUUGCAUCCAUCCAUCAGACUGAGCAAGGGGACCCCAGUGGAGGAGUUAGAGCAAGGACUGAAAGAGCUGAAGGGGUUUGAAACCCCAUAGGAAGAACAACAAUACCAACCAACCAGACUUCCCAGAGCUCCCAGGGACUAAACCACCAACCAAAGAGUACACAUUGGGGGACCCCUGGCUCCAGAUGCGUAUACAGCAGAGCAUGGCAUUGUCUAGCAUCAAUAAGAGGAGCCUUGGUCCUGUGAAGGCUCUUUUCCCCACUGUUGGGAAAUACCUGGGUGUUGAGGUAGGAGCAGGUGGCUGGGUGUGGGGGCGAGUAUCCUCACAGAAGCAGGGGAGGAGAGAUGGGACAGGGGGAACAGGGAAAGGGGAUAACAUUUGAAAUAUAAAUACACAAACUAUCCAAUAAAAAUUUUAAAAAGAA